rnacentral:lncRNA from 14 species
CCUAGGAGCGCACAGCACCAGGCUUCAGCUGUCAGGAACAUGAAAGACAAAGAAGCUAUCCAAGUGAACAUGUUUCCUGUAUCUGAUGAGGGAGGACAGUCCUUUUUUUAAGAGAUGAGACCUUGCUAUGCUGCCAAG